rnacentral:rRNA from 1 species
AGGGCACCACCAGGAGUGGAGCCUGCGCUUUAUUUUGACUCACCACGGAAAAACUCACCCGGCCCGGACACCAUAAGGAUUGACAGAUUGAUAGCUUUUUCAUGAUUUGGUGGAGGGGGGGGCAUGGCCGGUCUUAGUUCGGGGAGUGAUUUGUUUGGUUUAUUCCAAUAACAAGAGAGACUCUAGCCUACUAAAUAGUCUGCACAUUGCUUCUGUGUUGCAGUACUUCUUAGAGGGAUUUUCGGCGUACAGCCGCACGAGAUUGAGCUAUAACAGGUCUGUGAUGCCCUUAGAUGUCCGGGGCUGCACGCGCGCUACACUGGAGAAAUCCUCGGGCUUGUCCAUGCAGGAAAGAAGGAGGUAAACCCCUGAGUAUUUGCCGUGAUGGGGAUCGGAUAUUGUAAUUAUUUUUCGCGUACGAGGAGUACCAAGAAAAUGAGAGGCAUCAUUCUCGUUGAUUACCUCCCUGCCCUUUGUACUACCGCCCGUCGCUGCCGCUGACUGAUAGGAUUCGAGAAU